AUGGUCAUAUCACGUGGAAACAUUGUUUCUUGUACAAUCACUGAAGUUAAGCAACAUGGAGCCUGGUCAGUACUUAUAUGUGUGACCACUUAGGAAUACCAGGUGCUGUA